CAAUAGCGUAUAUUAAAGUUGUUGCGGUAAAAAAGCUCGUAGUUGGAUUUCUACCGAAGAUAGCCGGUCGGGUCUUCGACCUUGUAUCUGGUUUUGUCUUUGGUAUCCUCAUAGGGAACGUUUCUGCGCUUUAUUGCGUGGUGCGGUAUCAAUGACUUUUACUUUGAGGAAAUUAGAGUGUUCACGGCAGGCAAACGCCUUGAAUAUAUUAGCAUGGAAUAAUAACAUAGGAUCUUCGUCCUAUUUUGUUGGUUUCUAGGGCUAAGAUAAUGAUUAAUAGGGAUAAUUGGGGGCAUCUGUAUCAACGCGUCAGAGGUGGAAUUCUUGGAUUGCGUUGCGACAAACUACUGCGAAAGCAUUUGCCAAGGAUGUUUUCAUUGA
rnacentral:rRNA from 1 species